AAGCUCGUAGUUGAAUUUCGGGAUCAAAUUGUCGGUCGUGCCUCGGUACGUACUGGCGUUAUUGGUUCCUCCCUUCUGAAGAACCGCGAUGUCAUUAAUUUGGUGUCGCGGGGAAUCAGGACUGUUACUUUGAAAAAAUUAGAGUGUUUAAAGCAGGCUCGCGCUUGAAUACAUUAGCAUGGAAUAAUGAAAUAGGACGUUUGAUUCUAUUUUGUUGGUUUCUAGGAUCGACGUAAUGAUUAAUAGGGAUAGUUGGGGGCAUUAGUAUUCAAUUGUCAGAGGUGAAAUUCUUGGAUUUAUUGAAGACUAACUACUGCGAAAGCAUUUGCCAAGGAUGUUUUCAUUAAUCAAGAACGAAAGUUAGGGGAUCGAGGACGAUCAGAUACCGUCGUAGUCUUAACCAUAAACUAUGCCGACUAGGGAUCGGAUGAUGUUAAUUUUUUAAUGACUCAUUCGGCGCCUUACGGGAAACCAAAGUGUUUGGGUUCCGGGGGGAGUAUGGUCGCAAGGCUGAAACUUAAAGGAAUUGACGGAAGGGCACCACCAGGCGUGGAGCCUGCGGCUUAAUUUGACUCAACACGGGGAAACUUACCAGGUCCAGACAUAGCAAGGAUUGACAGACUGAGAGCUCUUUCUUGAUUCUAUGGGUG
rnacentral:rRNA from 1 species